GGCUCGGUAGCUUAGUUGGAAAAGCACUUGUCUAGCGAAUAAGGGCGUGAGUUCACAGCUCACCUGAGCUG
rnacentral:tRNA from 1 species